UACAGAGGUGGCAAGCGUUGUUCGGAAUUACUGGGCGUAAAGGGCGCGUAGGCGGCUUUCUAAGUCAGACGUGAAAUCCCCCGGCUUAACCUGGGAACUGCGUCUGAUACUGGGAGGCUUGAGUAUGGGAGAGGGAUGUAGAAUUCCAGGUGUAGCGGUGAAAUGCGUAGAUAUCUGGAGGAAUACCGGUGGCGAAGGCGGCAUCCUGGACCAUUACUGACGCUGAGGCGCGAAAGCCAGGGGAGCAAACGGG
rnacentral:rRNA from 1 species